CUUUCAUCUAAUAGUCGGCGAUCUUAUACAAUUUUAGUUGCCAUUGUUUGAUAAUCUUCUCAUUAUUUUACUUUCGUGACUUUACUGUCUCAUUUCUAAUGUUUAACUUCGAAUUUGACUUUCUGAAUAUUUUUAAACUGGAAAAAGACAUUGAGGUCAGGGCACAAUUUCAGGAUGUGUCAUGUGAACGUAAACACGAGUAUUUUUAUUAUCUCAUUUAGUUUUGUAUAGCAAAGGCAGAAUAGCAUAAUUCGCAAUUAAGCUAACUUCAACCAUGGGCCAAGGUGAGCUGUAAGUUGGUUGUCUAUUUUCCACAAUUGUUCGUAAACGUCUGUUCUUCAGAAUAAGUGUUAGCUCAUGUUGAGCUUUAAGUAUAGUUGUAUGUUUGUAAAGGUUAAUCUCAUGCAAUGUACAGGCGUGUUCCUUGGGUGGUCAGUUGAAAAUAAUUUCAUGUAUGGACAUCAUCAAGACUUUACAUGCAAAUGUAACUUGUUUUCUUUUUCUUCAGACUAUGCCAGGACAAGUACUUUUUGAGAAUUGUUUACUGCAUAGUACAUGUACUGUCCCGCUGAUGACCGAAUACGCUGCAUGAAAAAAAGGUGUACUUCCCAAAGCGAUGGCAGAAAGCAAAGACAGUAGCAAGU
rnacentral:lncRNA from 1 species